rnacentral:rRNA from 1 species
AGCGAACGCUGGCGGCAGGCCUAACACAUGCAAGUCGAACGAACCUUUCGGGGUUAGUGGCGGACGGGUGAGUAACACGUGGGAACGUGCCUUUAGGUUCGGAAUAACUCAGGGAAACUUGUGCUAAUACCGAAUGUGCCCUUCGGGGGAAAGAUUUAUCGCCUUUCGAGCGGCCCGCGUCUGAUUAGCUAGUUGGUUGAGGUAAUGGCUCACCAAGGCGACGAUCAGUAGCUGGUCUGUGAGGAUGAUCAGCCACAUUGGGACUGAGACACGGCCCAAACUCCUACGGGAGGCAGCAGUGGGGAAUCUUGCGCAAUGGGCGAAAGCCUGACGCAGCCAUGCCGCGUGAAUGAUGAAGGUCUUAGGAUUGUAAAAUUCUUUCACCGGGGACGAUAAUGACGGUACCCGGAGAAGAAGCCCCGGCUAACUUCGUG